GUUCGAAUGGAUACCCCAUAUUAGUAACAACAAACACUGAACACUUGAGGAGAUAAAAACAAAUGUGCCACUAGUGAAGAUUACAUCAAAUUUCAAGAACUGAUGAAAAGAAAUUGAUCACAAACAAUAUUGAUGAUUAAGAAAGCAUUAGAUAUUCACUACUAAGGAGAAGCCAGCAUUCAAAAAGAUAAGCAUUUAAUUUAACUCUGGAUAGAGCUACCUACUGUGACAGGAUCCCCAACAACUAAUAGGUAAACAAUUCUAGAGAAACUUAUGAAAGGGCAGAUCUUUGCUUGUUGCCCAAAGAAAAUAAAGAUUGAAAUUCAGUUGGACCACUAAUUUAUCAGGAAUGAGGAUUCUAUAAGAACACACACACACAUAUAUGGACACUAAAGCACAAAAAUGAAAUACAAUCCAUGUUCAAACUCUAUAGCGUUCACUAUACAUGCCCGGUAAAAGUUCAC
rnacentral:misc_RNA from 1 species